rnacentral:rRNA from 1 species
UAGGGAAUCUUCCACAAUGGACGAAAGUCUGAUGGAGCAACGCCGCGUGAGUGAAGAAGGGUUUCGGCUCGUAAACUCUGUUGUUAAAGAAGAACAUAUCUGAGAGUAACUGUUCAGGUAUUGACGGUAUUUAACCAGAAAGCCACGGCUAACUACGCGCCAG